rnacentral:rRNA from 1 species
GGGUUGUGAGGUUAAGCGACUAAGCGUACACGGUGGAUGCCCUGGCAGUCAGAGGCGAUGAAGGACGUGCUAAUCUGCGAUAAGCGCCGGUAAGGUGAUAUGAACCGUUAUAACCGGCGAUUUCCGAAUGGGGAAACCCAGUGUGAUUCGUCACACUAUCAUUAACUGAAUCCAUAGGUUAAUGAGGCGAACCGGGGGAACUGAAACAUCUAAGUACCCCGAGGAAAAGAAAUCAACCGAGAUUCCCCCAGUAGCGGCGAGCGAACGGGGAGGAGCCCAGAGCCUGAAUCAGCAUGUGUGUUAGUGGAAGCGUCUGGAAAGGCGCGCGAUACAGGGUGACAGCCCCGUACACAAAAGCGCAUGUGCUGUGAGCUCGAUGAGUAGGGCGGGACACGUGGUAUCCUGUCUGAAUAUGGGGGGACCAUCCUCCAAGGCUAAAUACUCCUGACUGACCGAUAGUGAACCAGUACCGUGAGGGAAAGGCGAAAAGAACCCCGGCGAGGGGAGUGAAAAAGAACCUGAAACCGUGUACGUACAAGCAGUGGGAGCACAGGUUUACCUGUGUGACUGCGUACCUUUUGUAUAAUGGGUCAGCGACUUAUAUUCUGUAGCAAGGUUAACCGUAUAGGGGAGCCGGAGGGAAACCGAGUCUUAAUUGGGCGUUAAGUUGCAGGGUAUAGACCCGAAACCCGGUGAUCUAGCCAUGGGCAGGUUGAAGGUUGGGUAACACUAACUGGAGGACCGAACCGACUAAUGUUGAAAAAUUAGCGGAUGACCUGUGGCUGGGGGUGAAAGGCCAAUCAAACCGGGAGAUAGCUGGUUCUCCCCGAAAGCUAUUUAGGUAGCGCCUCGUGAAUUCAUCUCCGGGGGUAGAGCACUGUUUCGGCUAGGGGGCCAUCCCGGCUUACCAACCCGAUGCAAACUGCGAAUACCGGAGAAUGUUAUCACGGGAGACACACGGCGGGUGCUAACGUCCGUCGUGAAGAGGGAAACAACCCAGACCGCCAGCUAAGGUCCCAAAGUCAUGGUUAAGUGGGAAACGAUGUGGGAAGGCCCAGACAGCCAGGAUGUUGGCUUAGAAGCAGCCAUCAUUUAAAGAAAGCGUAAUAGCUCACUGGUCGAGUCGGCCUGCGCGGAAGAUGUAACGGGGCUAAACCAUGCACCGAAGCUGCGGCAGCGAACGUAUCACCCAAGACAACUUUACGGAGUUGACGAUUGACGGAGCGAAGCGACGUCAAAGCGUUCAUUAAAGUCGAGUUGGCUUAGGGAUACGUUCGUUGGGUAGGGGAGCGUUCUGUAAGCCUGUGAAGGUGUGUCGUGAGGCAUGCUGGAGGUAUCAGAAGUGCGAAUGCUGACAUAAGUAACGAUAAAGCGGGUGAAAAGCCCGCUCGCCGGAAGACCAAGGGUUCCUGUCCAACGUUAAUCGGGGCAGGGUGAGUCGACCCCUAAGGCGAGGCCGAAAGGCGUAGUCGAUGGGAAACGGGUUAAUAUUCCCGUACUUGGUGUUACUGCGAAGGGGGGACGGAGAAGGCUAUGUUGGCCGGGCGACGGUUGUCCCGGUUUAAGCGUGUAGGUGUGUGUUCCAGGUAAAUCCGGUUCACUUUAACACUGAGGCGUGACGACGAGGCACUACGGUGCUGAAGCAACAAAUGCCCUGCUUCCAGGAAAAGCCUCUAAGCAUCAGGUAACAUCAAAUCGUACCCCAAACCGACACAGGUGGUCAGGUAGAGAAUACCAAGGCGCUUGAGAGAACUCGGGUGAAGGAACUAGGCAAAAUGGUGCCGUAACUUCGGGAGAAGGCACGCUGACACGUAGGUGAAGUGAUUUACUCAUGGAGCUGAAGUCAGUCGAAGAUACCAGCUGGCUGCAACUGUUUAUUAAAAACACAGCACUGUGCAAACACGAAAGUGGACGUAUACGGUGUGACGCCUGCCCGGUGCCGGAAGGUUAAUUGAUGGGGUCAGCGCAAGCGAAGCUCCUGAUCGAAGCCCCGGUAAACGGCGGCCGUAACUAUAACGGUCCUAAGGUAGCGAAAUUCCUUGUCGGGUAAGUUCCGACCUGCACGAAUGGCGUAAUGAUGGCCAGGCUGUCUCCACCCGAGACUCAGUGAAAUUGAACUCGCUGUGAAGAUGCAGUGUACCCGCGGCAAGACGGAAAGACCCCGUGAACCUUUACUAUAGCUUGACACUGAACAUUGAGCCUUGAUGUGUAGGAUAGGUGGGAGGCUUUGAAGUGUGGACGCCAGUCUGCAUGGAGCCGACCUUGAAAUACCACCCUUUAAUGUUUGAUGUUCUAACGUGGACCCGUAAUCCGGGUUGCGGACAGUGUCUGGUGGGUAGUUUGACUGGGGCGGUCUCCUCCUAAAGAGUAACGGAGGAGCACGAAGGUUGGCUAAUCCUGGUCGGACAUCAGGAGGUUAGUGCAAUGGCAUAAGCCAGCUUGACUGCGAGCGUGACGGCGCGAGCAGGUGCGAAAGCAGGUCAUAGUGAUCCGGUGGUUCUGAAUGGAAGGGCCAUCGCUCAACGGAUAAAAGGUACUCCGGGGAUAACAGGCUGAUACCGCCCAAGAGUUCAUAUCGACGGCGGUGUUUGGCACCUCGAUGUCGGCUCAUCACAUCCUGGGGCUGAAGUAGGUCCCAAGGGUAUGGCUGUUCGCCAUUUAAAGUGGUACGCGAGCUGGGUUUAGAACGUCGUGAGACAGUUCGGUCCCUAUCUGCCGUGGGCGCUGGAGAACUGAGGGGGGCUGCUCCUAGUACGAGAGGACCGGAGUGGACGCAUCACUGGUGUUCGGGUUGUCAUGCCAAUGGCACUGCCCGGUAGCUAAAUGCGGAAGAGAUAAGUGCUGAAAGCAUCUAAGCACGAAACUUGCCCCGAGAUGAGUUCUCCCUGAGACUUAGAGUCUCCUGAAGGAACGUUGAAGACGACGACGUUGAUAGGCCGGGUGUGUAAGCGCAGCGAUGCGUUGAGCUAACCGGUACUAAUGAACCGUGAGGCUUAACCUUACAACGCCGAAG